rnacentral:rRNA from 1 species
GACGAACGCUGGCGGCGUGCCUAAUACAUGCAAGUCGAGCGGGCCUCCGGAGGUGCUUGCACCUCCGGACGGCCAGCGGCGGACGGGUGAGUAACACGUGGGCAACCUGCCUUUGAGGCCGGGAUAACACCGGGAAACCGGUGCUAAUACCGGAUACGUCCUCUUUCGCGCCUGCGAGAGGGGAGAAAGACGGUCUUUAAGGCCGUCGCUCAAAGAGGGGCCCGCGGCGCAUUAGCUGGUUGGUGGGGCAAGGGCCUACCAAGGCGACGAUGCGUUGCCGACCUGAGAGGGUGAUCGGCCACACUGGGACUGAGACACGGCCCAGACUCCUGCGGGAGGCAGCAGUAGGGAAUCAUCCGCAAUGGGCGAAAGCCUGACGGUGCAACGCCGCGUGAGUGGGGAAGGUUUUCGGAUCGUAAAGCUCUGUUGUGAGGGAAGAACAGCAUCCGGAGGAAAUGCCGGAGGUUUGCCGGUACCUCACCAGAAAGCCCCGGCUAACUACGUGCCAGCAGCCGCAGUAAAAC